UCCGCUCCCCGGAUGAUCGCAGUGUGGUCUUGUGCCGCAUUGAGGAAAGUCCGGACACCAAAGGGUAGCGCGCCUUGUGAAAACGAGGGACGGAGGCUGGAAGGCCUUUGGACGGAAAGUGCCGCAGAAAACAAACCGCCCGGUCCGCCGGGUAAGGGUGAAAAGGUGGGGUAAGAGCCCACCGCGCCGAGGGUAACCGAGGUGGCAGGGCAAACCCCGCGUGGUGCAAGACAGAACAGGGGUAGGACGACCCGUCCGCUUAUCCCCGGGUAAUAGUCGCCUAGAGAAAUGGUCAUCGAGCCCGGCAGAGCGCCGGGGGAACAGAAUCCGGCUUAUAGGGGAGCGGGCGCU
rnacentral:RNase_P_RNA from 1 species